rnacentral:rRNA from 1 species
UAGAGUUUGAUCCAUGGCUCAGAUUGAACGCUGGCGGCAGGCUUAACACAUGCAAGUCGAGCGGUAGCACAGGGGAGCUUGCCCCCUGGGUGACGAGCGGCGGACGGGUGAGUAAUGUCUGGGAAACUGCCUGAUGGAGGGGGAUAACUACUGGAAACGGUAGCUAAUACCGCAUAACGUCGCAAGACCAAAGAGGGGGACCUUCGGGCCUCUUGCCAUCAGAUGUGCCCAGAUGGGAUUAGCUAGUAGGUGGGGUAAUGGCUCACCUAGGCGACGAUCCCUAGCUGGUCUGAGAGGAUGACCAGCCACACUGGAACUGAGACACGGUCCAGACUCCUACGGGAGGCAGCAGUGGGGAAUAUUGCACAAUGGGCGCAAGCCUGAUGCAGCCAUGCCGCGUGUGUGAAGAAGGCCUUCGGGUUGUAAAGCACUUUCAGCGAGGAGGAAGGUGAUGAGCUUAAUACGCUCAUCAAUGACGAC